ACAAUGGGCGCAAGCCUGAUCCAGCCAUGCCGCGUGAGUGAUGAAGGCCCUAGGGUUGUAAAGCUCUUUCACCGGUGAAGAUAAUGACGGCAACCGGAGAAGAAGCCCCGGCUAACUUCGUGCCAGCAGCCGCGGUAAUACGAAGGGGGCUAGCGUUGUUCGGAAUUACUGGGCGUAAAGCGCACGUAGGCGGAUCGAUCAGUUAGGGGUGAAAUCCCGGGGCUCAACCCCGGAACUGCCUCUAAUACUGUCGAUCUGGAGUUCGAGAGAGGUGAGUGGAAUUCCUAGUGUAGAGGUGAAAUUCGUAGAUAUUCGGAGGAACACCAGUGGCGAAGGCGGCUCACUGGCUCGAUACUGACGCUGAGGUGCGAAAGCGUGGGGAGCAAACA
rnacentral:rRNA from 1 species